rnacentral:rRNA from 1 species
GGCCACAGCCAUAUCACCCUGCAGCACCAGACCGGUUACUCACUGAAGCUUAGCAGGGCAGAGCCUGGUCAUACCUGGAUGGGAGACCACAUGGGAAAACUACAGUAGGUUGCUAUUGGAA